UUUAUGUAGUAUGUUAUUAUUAUUAUGAGGAUUAUGAUAUUUUUUAUUUCCGUUUUAAUGUUUAUCAUUAAUUUGGUAAAUAUUGUUUUAUUAUAUCUGUUUAAUUCUCUUGUGCAUUAUUCGAUUGGUCAUUUGACCGUUUGUGAAGGCCAGAGUGUGCCUGAUGUUGUUAGCCGUUUGGCUUGUGUGGUCAUUUGACCGUUUGUGAAGGCCAGAGUGUGCCUGAUGUUGAUUAGCCGUUUGGCUUGUGUGGUCAUUUGACCGUUUGUGAAGGCCAGAGUGUGCCUGAUGUUGAUAAGCCAGUUGGCUUGUGUGGUCAGUUGACCGUUGUUGAAGGCCAUAGUGUGCCUAUUUUGAUUGAAUUGAUUUUAUUGCUUUUACAAAUGUUUAUAAUUGUAUCUUUUCAGUUAAAACACAGUUCGAGAGGUAUAUAACGUGGUGGAGAAUAUUUAGUAUAUUUUCAGUUCGGUUUUUAGUCCAUGUGAGAUGGGAUCUUAACACGAACCGAUUUCUUUACUGGGAAAGACGAUGGGUGUAUUUUCAUUUGAGUCUGAAGCAGCUAAGUUUUCUUGAUUAUUUUGACUCAUUUUUUACAUAAUAUUGUGUUUGAAUGAGGUCUUUUAAGUUAUGGGUGUCAUGUUUUUCGAGACUCUCAAUUUCUGGAGAUAGUACCUCCAGCAUACUUAUUGAAAUAUUGGUAUGUUUAAAUGUCAGUGUUAUAAUUUUUUGUUGUCGUUCGUAAUGAACGUUUAAUUUUAAAGACAUUUUUAUUUUACGAUUACUUAAUAUUUUCAUUUUGGUGUGACUGGUUAGAUGUUGAAGUCGGAUUAAUAAAGCUGUUAAAUUCGUCAUAUGCAUUUAUAUAUUUCUCGGAAUAUUUAUGAUUUAUCAACAUUCUUUAUAGAUGCUUUAUGGAUUUUAUGGUUUGAGUGAUUUGUUUGUUUCUUGUUGAUGUCCGGGGUGUGUGCAGGAUGCUUUUGAUGUUUGUUUGUUAUGUUAACUUGCGCAAUGAAAUUGAUAAUGUUUUAAUUACAUUUUUUACUAUAAAAUACUUAAUGUUACAGUAUCUUAAUAGAUGCUUAUUUGUAGAUUUCUCUAAAUUAGAGGUUUUGGGAGGUGAUGAAGGCACCUAGACACCGGUCUCGAGCCAUGGGUCCUCAUACGUCCCCCUGCCAUUAAAAGAAAAAAUAAGAAAACAAAAAUGGCAGUAGGGUUGCGUAUCCCGCUCGCGGUUUACCUGAAUCGUUUAUUACUACUGAUUAUUGUAUGGGGUGUACGUGAAGUCAUGUACACUUCUCUUGAUUGGUGGUGGUAGAUGAAUCUUGCAGAUAUUAGCAGCUUCUUUGAACAAAUUAAUGUUUCACAUUUGUUUAUUUAUAAUAUUUAAGCAAGUUAGCGUGAUUGAUGGGCAUUGGGGGCGUCCUGUGUGCACUGUGGGCAUCGGCGGGGAUCAGUUUAUUCAAAUAGUAACUCUUUUUUGAGAUAUAUACUUGACGUCUAAUUGUUAUGAAUACAUUUGCACCUUUUCACAUGACACACAUACGUAGUAUUCAUAAUUACAUGCCCUACAGCAUUUAAAUAGUAUCGUUUCAGUUCUUUAUACACCUGAACAAAGAUGUUACACCGUUUCCAGUCGUCUCGAGAUUCCUCAACUGAGCGGUGCCGUUGAGGUCUAUAUCCAUUGCGCAUACAACAUAUACGGGCGUCAGAAGAAUUGUUUUUUGCAUUUAUUUGUUGAAAGUCCUGUCAAAUACAAGCACUCACUCCUA